rnacentral:rRNA from 1 species
CAGCAGCCGCGGUAAUACGAAGGGUGCAAGCGUUACUCGGAAUUACUGGGCGUAAAGCGUGCGUAGGUGGUGGUUUAAGUCCGUUGUGAAAGCCCUGGGCUCAACCUGGGAAUUGCAGUGGAUACUGGGUCACUAGAGUGUGGUAGAGGAUAGUGGAAUUUCCGGUGUAGCAGUGAAAUGCGUAGAGAUCGGAAGGAACAUCUGUGGCGAAGGCGACUAUCUGGGCCAACACUGACACUGAGGCACGAAAGCGUGGGGAGCAAACAGGAUUAGAUACCCGCGUAGUCCCUGUCUCUUAUAC